rnacentral:tRNA from 1 species
GAUUAUAUAGUCUAAUAAGGAUAUUAAAUUGCAAAUUUAAAGGUAGAUUUAUAAUUUUAUAAUUU